rnacentral:rRNA from 1 species
GAUGAACGCUGGCGGCGUGCCUAAUACAUGCAAGUCGAGCGAACGGACGAGAAGCUUGCUUCUCUGAUGUUAGCGGCGGACGGGUGAGUAACACGUGGAUAACCUACCUAUAAGACUGGGAUAACUUCGGGAAACCGGAGCUAAUACCGGAUAAUAUUUUGAACCGCAUGGUUCAAAAGUAAAGGACGGUCUUGCUGUCACUUAUAGAUGGAUCCGCGCUGCAUUAGCUAGUUGGUAAGGUAACGGCUUACCAAGGCAACGAUGCAUAGCCGACCUGAGAGGGUGAUCGGCCACACUGGAACUGAGACACGGUCCAGACCCCUACGGGAGGCAGCAGUAGGGAAUCUUCCGCAAUGGGCGAAAGCCUGACGGAGCAACGCCGCGUGAGUGAUGAAGGUCUUCGGAUCGUAAAACUCUGUUAUUAGGGAAGAACAUAUGUGUAAGUAACUGUGCACAUCUUGACGGUACCUAAUCAGAAAGCCACGGCUAACUACGUG